rnacentral:lncRNA from 1 species
UUCGUGUAGAUGAUCAUUUAUUAAAUUAGACCAAAACGUAUGUGACAAUGAGAGAAAAACUGCAGACACCGAACCCCAGCCACGAAGCAGCGCUUGAGGACCCCGGUCAUCCCCACAGAGGCAGGAAGGGCCCCGGGAGGCCCCGGCGAGCAGAGCCCAUCACCCUUCUCCAAGUCCUUCCUGGGCCCCAUCAUGGCGCAGUCUCUGCCUCCCAAGCUGCUACCGACCCCAGGCCCAGGGAGCCCCAUGUAGGGGAGUGCCCGGGCCCAGCCCCUGCAGGGAGGGCAGCCCCCGCCUCAGACAAGGGCACAGCCGCCUGUUCUUCAGGCUGUCCUCCAGGUGGUGACUCGGGGCCAGGCUCUGGCCCUCAAAGGAAAUCUCAGCGCUUUUUACGAGGGGCUGGAGGGGAGGGGGGCUACUGCCUUCCCUGCUAUGAAAAAAAAGCUCCACAAAAGCAUUUGGUCCUGUCCUGAGACCGACGCCGCUGCGCCAUCGCCAGCGCGCGCCAGACGCAACAGAUCUGAUAGUCAACAGCCCGUUGAGCAGGGAACGGGGUGUUCUCGGAGGGGGACAGGGAGCAGCCAGGGCCUCCCAGGCCUGAGGCCAGCCACUCCCCCUCUCCCCCGAGGCCCGGCACAGAGGCCGGGCCGCCAUAAAGUGCGCAACUUCUGGGUGCCCCCAGACGCGCCCUCCCACAGAAGGGGCGGCUGCCCUGUCCACAGGGAAGGGGCCGACCUGGGCAUGGCUGAGGGCGGGGGGCUCCGGCCCCCUCAGUAGUAAAGCAGCAGGAGACGGUAGGAGCGGGAAGGGGGCUCUCCGCCGGCCGAGGCGGAUCCCCAAAGCGGCAUGCUUCCGGGCUGGGGGGCGGGCCUUGUGACAGGCGAGGACCCUCGGGAGCCAGAGCCGGGCACUGCCAUGCCAGGGGCAGAGCCCGGGAAGGGGCGGGGAUGGGGGCGGGGCGGGCUUCCCCUCUCCGGCCCAGGGCAGGGGGUAACGGAGCGCCCCGGGCCAGAGGUGGAGGGCGCUGACCCCGUGGCCCCCGGGAAGGGCACAGGGAGGGAAUAAAUACAGAGGACGCUUCUCCCACCUCUACAGAACAGCACAGACGGCAAUUAACUGGAAAGACCCACAUGCAUCUGCAAAGUGACCGAAGAGAGCCUGCAGCUGGGGACACGAGGGCCCGGGGACGGGGCGGGUGGAGGAGCGGGGGCAGUGAGGGGCCGUGGCCCCCAGGGAAGGCCCUAUGACUCCUCCCCAAUCUGAAGCAGGGAGUUGAUAGCGGCCUCGCGGUUUCCCCUCUGGGCUUCCAGCACCGAGCGGAUCACUUCUCUGUCCAUGUUGGGGAACAUGUCCUGGAUGGCUUUCAGAUCUUCUUCACUGCACGGGGGCUGGGGGCUGAGCACUGGGGGGGCCACCGCCAAGGGCAUCACCCCCGGGCCGCAGACCGCGGGCAUCCCU